GACAGAGGUGGCAAGCGUUGUUCGGAAUUACUGGGCGUAAAGAGUCUGUAGGUGGUUUGUCAAGUCUUUGGUGAAAGGCCGUAGCUUAACUAUGGGAAUGCCAAAGAGACUGGCAGGCUGGAGGCUGGGAGAGGGAAGCGGAAUUUCUGGUGUAGCGGUGAAAUGCGUAGAUAUCAGAAGGAAGGCCGGUGGCGAAGGCGGCUUCCUGGAACAGUCCUGACACUGAGAGACGAAAGCGCGGGGAGCAAACAGGGAUUAGAUACCCUGGUAGUCCACGCCCUAAACGAUGGGUACUAAGUGUGGAGGGGUUAAACCCUCCGUGCCGCAGCAAACGCAGUAAGUACCCCGCCUGGGGAGUACGGCCGCAAGGUUGAAACUCAA
rnacentral:rRNA from 1 species